GAGCGGCUUGAUCCGCGAUCGAAAAAAGAAGGUAUUGCAUGUGCACUGUAGUUGUCGUUAUCGCAUGCGAGUGUGGAAAUGGACUUGUAGGAAACUGUAAAAUCGAUGGUUUCCCACAAAACUGUGUGAUUGUGCAGUGGCAAUCUUGCCUGUGAAAGGGGAUGGCUAAGAUCGCAUAGUAGCGAUUUCGGCUGGAAGGGAAGCCUAACGAGAUCGAAGGGGAAGCGGGUAGAGGUAGAUCGUAUGAUGUCGAUCUCCAUGAGAAGGAAUAUUUGCGGCGAAAACCGCAAGCCAAGGAGAGGAGAAGAGUGAGCGACUUGAGCUGCGACCAGAGGAUGAAGAAGGUGUCGCAUGCGCACUAUCAAUGUCGCAUGCGAGUGUGGGAACAGACUUUUGUGAAAUUUCAAAGCCGGUGGUGUGCGUGCGAAAUCCAAGUGCGGGUCGUUGAUGCGUGUAUGUAUGACUUGGGAAGGUUGGAUGUGGUUCCGACCGCAUGAGCUUGUGGUGGCGAGGUCAAGUGCCUCCAAUGCGCGAUUGGUACUGGUGCCACCGCAGAUGGGUGAGUGUGGGUCGGGGAAGCGGAGAACAGAACCAGACUGAUGAUAUUGUCUGCGGCGGCACCCAUCUGCUGCUUGCGUUAACGAUUUUUCUCUCCUUUUUUAUGCUUGAACCGAUCGGUCCUAAUCAGUUUUAUUUGUGGUCUUGAACUGAAUCGAUUCACCCUCCAUACAACAAACCAAUUGGGUGUUUUGGGAAACCCAAAGCUUUGAUCUGCG
rnacentral:lncRNA from 1 species